rnacentral:rRNA from 1 species
AUGGCAGCUAUGCUUUCUUGCCAUGGUGCUCAGUCCAGUGACGUGUAUGCACCAGGUAGCCGCGCCGCCAGAGCUAAUAAACGGCGUUAUGUCCAGAACGAAGAGGACAUAGAGGAGGAGGUCAAUGAAGAGGAGCCAGCACAUCAAGAGGAGCCAACACAUCAUGAUGAGCAUGAGUAUGAUGCAACACAUCAAGAGGAUCAUGAGUAUGAUGUUGAUGCUCCACAACCAUCACAGGUUACACAACCGACACAAGGCAAUGCCCGCUCUAAAAAAGGCAAAGCAAUAGCUAAGACACCGGGCCAGAAAGGUAGAAAGAAGAUAUGGAACACUCAAUUCCAUAGUCCGGAGUAUCCUCAUCAAUUUAUGCCUGCGGGAAUGCAAAGAUAUAAGUCCAACAUUGAUGCAGAGGCGGAGGAGGCUAGCGAAGAGGAGGAGCAUGAGGCUAGCGAAGAGGAGGAGCAUACACUUGCAGAUAUCGUGAAGAGAGGAAGGAAGAAGUGA